rnacentral:hammerhead_ribozyme from 1 species
AUCUAGCUGACGAGUCCCAAAUAGGACGAAACUGGAU